GGUGACCNGGCCACACUNGGGACUGAGACACGGCCCANACUCCNACGGGAGNCAGCAGUGGGGAAUCUUGCGCAAUNGGCNGAAAGCCUGACGCAGCAACGCCGCGUGGGGGAUGACGGCCUUCNGGGUUGUAAACNUCUUUCGACAUCGACGAAGGCCCCUUUUGGGGUUGACGGUAGGUGUAGAAGAAGCACCGGCUAACUACGUGCCAGCAGCCGCGGUAAUNCGUAGGGUGCAAGCGUUGUCCGGAUUUAUUGGGCGUAAAGAGCUCGUAGGCGGUUUGUUGCGUCGGCCGUGAAAACCUGCAGCUUAACUGUGGGCUUGCGGUCGAUACGGGCAGACUUGAGUUCGGUNGGGNANACUGGAAUUCCUGGUGUAGCNGGUGAAAUGCGCAGAUAUCAGGAGGAACACCGGUGGCGAAGGCGGGUCUCUGGGCCGAUACUGACGCUNAGGAGCGAAAGCGUGGGGAGCGAACAGGAUUAGAUACCCUGGUAGUCCACGCCGUAAACGUUGGGCGCUAGGUGUGNGGAUGGGUUCCNNUGUCUCCGUGCCGUAGCUAACGCAUUAAGCGCCCCGCCUGGGGAGUACGGCCGCAAGGCUAAAACUCAAAGGAAUUGACGGGGGCCCGCACAAGCGGCGGAGCAUGUGGAUUAAUUCGAUGCAACGCGAAGAACCUUACCUGGGUUUGACAUGCACUAGA
rnacentral:rRNA from 1 species